CCAAGUGUGUUUGCUGUGCGGCUGACAGCCUGACUCCCGGGUCCUGUUGCUCUCUGUCCUGUAAAUUAAGAGCAGAUGGAGUGGAUAAACUGAGAGCGCAGGAGAAGGUAACACAAGUCAGAACUUCCACCAAGGGCAUUACUGAGACAUGGAGAACGUUGAUAAUUCUCUGGAUGGCAGUGAUGUGUCAGAACCAGCAAAACCAGAAGCCGGACUUGAAGUGGCUCAGUCGAUCCUGACCUGACCACAGCCUGACUGAGCAGGAUGACAGGACUCCUGGCAGACUUCAAGCUGUCUGGCCACCCCCAAAGACAAAAGACACAGAAGAAAAAGUGGGACUGAAGUACACUGAAGCAGGUAAUGUGAAAGGAAGCUAGGGACCCGGGAAUGAAUCUCUUCCUGCAAUGGCUUUUAGUUCUAGCUUAGUUGACUCUCAGAAUUUGGGGUUUUAUUUCAUUAUAAAAUGUAAUGCUGAAGGGUUUCUUUUUGGUUUUGCUGUUAAAGUGAACCUUUGCACACUUAUUGUUAACGAGCCUCUGAAAGAUGAAAGAUGAAUGCAGUGGAAUGAAUGAAAGGGGGAAUGUGUGUGAAGUAGGAGAACCUUGGGGGACCUGAUGGAGAAGGUAGAUUGCAAAUCCCUCAGGAAGCCGGUGGUUGGUCCUCAUACAAUUUUGUGAGCUGGCAGUGUUGCUAGAAGAGGCAGAGUAUGGUUCUCUAGAGCUGUAAUCUGAUUUGUUGUUUGUCUUCGAGUAAUGCUUUUGAGAUAAAGGAACCUUGUGCAGAGUGAAUGUACAGAUACCGUAUCAGUUACUCGUUCACUUUUGUGAGACAAAGCUUUAUUUAAUGCAUGGCCAACUUUAAAGCAACCUAACUCUCUGGAAACCUGCC
rnacentral:lncRNA from 1 species